rnacentral:rRNA from 1 species
CCUACGGGAGGCUGCAGUGGGGAAUAUUGGACAAUGGGGGGAACCCUGAUCCAGCCAUGCCGCGUGUGUGAAGAAGGCCCUCGGGUUGUAAAGCACUUUCAGUGAGGAAGAACGCCUGGUGGUUAAUACCCAUCAGGAAAGACAUCACUCACAGAAGAAGCACCGGCUAACUCCGUGCCAGCAGCCGCGGUAAUACGGAGGGUGCGAGCGUUAAUCGGAAUUACUGGGCGUAAAGCGCGCGUAGGUGGCUUGAUAAGCCGGUUGUGAAAGCCCCGGGCUCAACCUGGGAACGGCAUCCGGAACUGUCAAGCUAGAGUGCAGGAGAGGAAGGUAGAAUUCCCGGUGUAGCGGUGAAAUGCGUAGAGAGCGGGAGGAAUACCAGUGGCGAAGGCGGCCUUCGGGACUGACACUGACACUGAGGUGCGAAAGCGUGGGUAGCAAACAGGAUUAGAUACCCGAGUAGUC